rnacentral:rRNA from 1 species
GACGAACGCUGGCGGCGUGCCUAAUACAUGCAAGUAGAACGCUGAAGAGAGGAGCUUACUCUUCUUGGAUGAGUUGCGAACGGGUGAGUAACGCGUAGGUAACCUGCCUUGUAGCGGGGGAUAACUAUUGGAAACGAUAGCUAAUACCGCAUAACAAUGGAUGGCACAUGUCAUUUAUUUGAAAGGGGCAAUUGCUCCACUACAAGAUGGACCUGCGUUGUAUUAGCUAGUAGGUGAGGUAAUGGCUCACCUAGGCGACGAUACAUAGCCGACCUGAGAGGGUGAUCGGCCCACCUGGGACCGAGACACGGCCCAGACUCCUACGGGAGGCAGCAGUAGGGAAUCUUCGGCAAUGGGGGCAACCCUUACCGAGCAACGCCGCGUGAGUGAAGAAGGUUUUCGGAUCGUAAAGCUCUGUUGUAAGUCAAGAACGGGUGUGAGAGUGGAAAGUUCACACUGUGACGGUAGCUUACCAGAAAGAGACGGCUAACUACGUG